CUUUGCUAUGAUCAUUGACAAAUUGGAAGAGAACAUCAGCAGCUCUAUGACCAACAGCACAGCUGCCAGUAGAUCCCCGGUCACUCUGAGGCUGGUGGUCUGCUAGUCAGUGUGUCUCUCUCAUUGGAAAAAAAGAUUAAGGAAAUACUAGAGAAUACAGGGGCUCAAGUCCAGGUGGGAGGGGAUAUGCUCCCCAAUUCAACGGAGCGGGCCAUCACUAUUGCUGGCAUUCCACAAUCCAUCACUGAGUGUCAAACAGAUCUGCAUGGUCAUGUUGGAGACUCUCUCCCAGUCCCCCACGAAGGACGUGACUAUCCUGUACCCGCCCAAGCUGUCAAGUUCUCCAGUCAUCUUUGCAGGUGGUCAAGACAGGUACAGCACAGGCAGCAACAGUGCGAGCUUUCCCCACAACACCCGUCCAUGUGCCUCAACCCUGACCUGGAAGGACCACCCCUAGAGGCCUAUACCAUUCAAGGACAGUAUGCCAUUCCACAGCCAGAUUUGACCAAACUGCACCAGUUGGUAAUGCAACGGUCUCAUUUUCCUAUGAUGCAUGGUAACACUGGAUUCAGUGCAUUCCAAACGAUUUGAUUGGCUG
rnacentral:lncRNA from 1 species